rnacentral:lncRNA from 1 species
CGUUUCUCCCCGUGCAGGCGUGGCUAGGAACGGCGAUGGCUCUCGGUCCGCUGAGCUAUAGCGCCACUUGCAUGCGGAAUUAAUUUAAACUGGUUGAAAAGCCUCAUUGUGGUAUUAUUGGAUCUUAAAAUACCUAAUGAAGAAACUUUGAUAAAAGUAUCAUUGAUACCUAUAAAACCAAGUAUGAACGGAGGAGGAUGAAGAAUGGAGCGAGGGGGAAGCCGAGCGGAAGUCCAAGUCCCCGGCAGGAUCGGAGGCGAGCGAAGGCGCAAAGGGAGCGGCGAGCCCUCGGCCCUCGGCGGCGUCGCCCGUCCCCGGGGCGGACCCUGCGGGGGCGGCCGAGCCCUCGGAGUCCCCACCUGCGCCCACGCCGCCGCCGCCCAGAGUCCGGCUCAACCCGAGCCUGGCCACGGACCCCGCUCUGAGGCUCAAGACCGAGCAGGAGGAGCCCAUGGAGGUGGAUCAAGCGGAGGCGGAGGAGCAACCGCCCCCGCCCGCCGCCGCCACCCCCAAAAGCGGCGGACCCACCCCCACGCCUACGCCUACACCCCCGCCCACGCACAUACCCACCAGCGCCGAGUUGGAAUACAUCGCAUCUCUUCCGCCAGUUCUCCAGACCGUUAUCGCCUCGGGUCGGUUUUUUUGUCCGCCGGAGCUAGCCCCUGCGAGGCCCACCACGCCACGUGCCUCGAAACACGACGCCCCAUCCCCGGCUGAAAAUCGACAAGGUCCUGUUUUUAUGUGUUCACCAUGCGGUAUUCGAUAUAGUUCUCUGAGCACUUUGGAAGCCCACCAACAUAUUACUGCUCGCAUCGUCGAACAGCGAAUAAAGGUACGUACCAUCAGAAAACUUUAAAUCCUCUUUGUUUGGAUAAUACGAACACCUAGAAAAAUCACAAAAUUAUUUCAAAAUAAAAUCGGGAAGCCACGGAGAAUUCAUGAAAUUUUGACCGUGGUCAAGACGUUUUUCAAUCUUGAGUAUCUACCGCAGCGGGAACCUUGACGUGGUAUCGUUUGAUUGAAUAGGUUGGUUCAAAUACAUUUUUACUUUUUUUUAGACUUUUUGUCCUUACCGUAGACCCUUAUCGAGAGCUAAAAUUCAAGGAAAAUCAAGAUGUAAAUUUUCAUUAACAUUUUUUACUGUCAGAACUAAGUAGAC